rnacentral:piRNA from 1 species
UGUCCACUCAGGAUUUUACAGAGUCAACAA